UACGGAGGAUGCAAGCGUUAUCCGGAUUCAUUGGGUUUAAAGGGUGCGCAGGCGGAUUAUUAAGUCAGGGGUGAAAUCCCACGGCUCAACCGUGGAACUGCCUUUGAUACUGAUAGUCUAGAGUAUAGUUGAAGUUGGCGGAAUGUGUCAUGUAGCGGUGAGAUGCUUAGAUAAGACACAGAACACCGAUCGCGAAGGCAGCUAGCUAAGCUAUAACUGACGCUCAUGCACGAAAGCGUGGGGAUCAAAC
rnacentral:rRNA from 1 species